AUGACUCAGAGCCUCACUGAGUUUCGAUGCCUUCACUGACCUCGGCCCUUAGGGUUCCCCUAACCCCCUAACUGGCAGGCCCGCCCUACCGUGCACCUCUAGGCAUCUCUGUUUAAUGGGCCCUGCUCCUCUGGAAUUCCUUUGUGGAGACUGAGCAGCUGAAAAGGAGAAGGAAAUGGACCCUUUUCAUUAUGAUUACCAGACCCUGAGGAUUGGGGGACUGGUGUUCGCUGUGGUCCUCUUCUCGGUUGGGAUCCUCCUUAUCCUAAGUCGCAGGUGCAAGUGCAGUUUCAAUCAGAAGCCCCGGGCCCCAGGAGAUGAGGAAGCCCAGGUGGAGAACCUCAUCACCGCCAAUGCAACAGAGCCCCAGAAAGCAGAGAACUGAAGUGCAGCCAUCAGGUGGAAGCCUCUGGAACCUGAGGCGGCUGCUUGAACCUUUGGAUGCAAAUGUCGAUGCUUAAGAAAACCGGCCACUUCAGCAACAGCCCUUUCCCCAGGAGAAGCCAAGAACUUGUGUGUCCCCCACCCUAUCCCCUCUAACACCAUUCCUCCACCUGAUGAUGCAACUAACACUUGCCUCCCCACUGCAGCCUGCGGUCCUGCCCACCUCCCGUGAUGUGUGUGUGUGUGUGUGUGUGUGUGACUGUGUGUGUUUGCUAACUGUGGUCUUUGUGGCUACUUGUU
rnacentral:lncRNA from 1 species